CAAAGAUAUCGAAAGUCACCUUCUCAAUGCAUAACGCCAAGACCAUAUGUACCGUUUGCUAGUAUUUCUCUCUUAAAUAAAGUUUGGAACUUGGAUGUGCAUCUAUGUACUAUCUCGACCUUUUAAUAAACGCAAAUUCCAGCUGUACUGGAGUUGGUGACUAAUGCCGAGAAGACAAACUAGGUUCCCGAUCCUCAGUUAUUUAUGCAAUAAUAUUAAUUAGUGCAUGCGUGUGAUUAGUUGUAUGGUUCUGGGAGUUGCUUUGUGAUUGUUAAUCGGUGUCUUUUGUAGUGGGAUUAUUACAUGCAUGUAAUGUGAAGAACAUAUGAUCCAUGAGGAAAUAAAUUAAAUGAAAAUUACCCAGGCUCCAUCAUGAGGAGCCUUUGAGCAUGCCCACAAGCCUACGUUCCUGCAUUCAAGUCACAUAUGUGAAAAUUCCACUUUGCACAUAAUCUAAAUAAUUUAUCUAAAAAUCUAAGAAGUAAUCUCUCUCUCCAUCUAUGUCUCUCUCUCCCCAUCUAUAUGUACCUCAAAUGAAGAGGUAAGGUAAUGUAAAAUCCCCACCUCAAAUUUAGGGAUAUUUAUAUAAUUUGAAAAUUUUAAAAAGACCUACAUUAAUUUUGUAAAUAUUUAUGUAAUCAACUUUCUCAGAUUAAUUAAAUAAAAAAUUGACCAAGAUGAUUAAAAAUGCAAAUUUGAUGAGGACAUGAAGUAAAAAGUGGUAGGGUUUAAGGACAAUGGCUUCUACUGAAUUUUGGUGAGGUGGUGAUACAAUGAGGAAAAUAGAUUAAUAAAGUUUAUCCAUGGAAAUAGAAAAUAGAAAACAAAAAAUAUAAAAUAAUAAUAAUAUUCAUGUUAAUCAUUUAAUAAAUAUAAUAAAUGCAAUUAUAUAUGCUAAGUGAAAAUAACAAUAUUAUUAUUAUUAUUAUUAAUGCUUAUGAUAGGUGAGAAUUAAGUCUUUUAGAAAUUUGAGUAAUUUUUUCAAGGUAAAGCUUAUAGUUCAUUAAGUCAUUUUAUAAUUCCUUAUAUAUUUUUUUAUUGAUUUUUAAAGUAUCAAAAUGUGUAAAUUCUUUAAAGUGGAUCAAAUAGUUUUUUUUUUUUUUGAAAUAUUUUGUGAUUUGUUUGGUUGUUAUGAAAGUGAAUUUUAUUACUUAAUUUAUUAUAAUGAUUUUAAAACUCUAGUUAUUAGUGGUUUUAGUCAACAAGGAUAAGUUAUUAACCUUCUUUACCUUUGGUCAGUGAAGGGAUGUAGUAUAACACUAGCCAAUAAAUGUGUCAUUGGUCUUGUAUACUAUUGAUUAGAAAUUGUUAUGUCCACCAAUGAGAGUAUUAAAGUGAGGUGAGCCACCUAAUGUAAGUCCCAAUAUUUGGGCACAACGUUAUUAUUAAUUAAUAAACAAAAAUAAAUAGUUUAUUUAUAAAAAUUUUUUUCUAAAUAUAAAUUGAGUAUGCAAAUUGUAUUUUUUAAUUCUAUCUUUAAAUUUAAAGUGUUUAAUCUUUUGAAGAAAGUGAAUUUAAUUUUUUGAAGAAAGUGAAUUUAAUUUUUGAAUUAAAUAAAUUAACCUGAUAAUUGAUUUUUAUAAAAAUUUGAUAUCUCUUAGAAUUUAAUUCUCUACAAUAUAUACCUGAUUUUUUUCAUUGAACUAUUUUUUCUUAUUGAACCAUUGAAGUCACCCUUCUUUAUUAUUCCCCUUUUCAUAUACAAAUGGUAUAAGUGAGAAGGGAUUACGGGAGGAGAAAUGUUUCUAUUAUAAACAACUUUGGAAUUGAAUUAUGUUGGAUUGUGAAACGUGAAUCGGUUUAAUUUAUUGUAUUUUGCAAGGAAUGCUAGAGGUCGAGUGUCUAAUUGAGCUUGCGGGGAUCAAGAGUCUUGAUCGGUUCGUUGGGACUUGGGAUUGAGUUGUCCAAUCAGCUCAUGGGGUUAAAGGAAUAUCCUUCGAUUUUUUUUAAUACGAUGAAUAACGAGUUUGUCCUAAUUGUAUAUUUAAUCUUAUUAUAAUUUAAAGUUUCUUUUUAGAGAGUGUGUGACUGCAAUCGAAAGGAUAAUGAGUGUUUAGUACUCGUCUUAUUUUUUUCUGAACCAAAUUAAAAAUCUAUUGUUUUUCUUUAUUUUCUAAUCGUGUGUGCAUGAUUUGAUCAACAAAUUAUUUAUAGGAUUGUUUACUUAAAUUUGAUUGUAAUUUAUUUAAGUUUUUAGGAGAAUCAUUAAAUUUAUUAUUACAAUAUUUUAUUAGUUUUGAAUUUGUUAUUUAAAGUGAUUCAUUUACUUGGUUCAAAGGUUUGACAUAUAAAGUCACCGUGGUUCCCUUGGUGUCGCGGGUGAUUUUGUAAGUGCCUUCGGACUACAGAAUAUUAAUUAACCUACCAAUCUUCAAUGUAAUCUAAGAUGCAGAAAGAUCUUGUGGGUUAAGGUCAAGUGGGCGCUUCAAUAUUUAUCAUGUCUUCAAAAAAAACUUCAGGGCCCCAGUCCAGAUUCUCAGAUAUGGAUUCUAACAGUUGCUACCAAUCACGGGGGUGAAAACAAAUCAGUGUCGCAGAAAUCGCUAUCAAUGUGGUACUGGAAAAAAAAGAAGAGAUUCCUCCACUUGUUCUUGAAAUUUAUCUGAACGCAUGCAAUAAAUCAAUGCUCCAUAAUCUCCUGCACAUGCAAAUUAAAAUCAAAAUCAGGCCAUUGGCCUCUCACAUUACCAUUCUUGGCCGUUUUCUGGUGUGCAUAUAAAGAGUAAUAACCACACCAUCCAUCUUUUACUCUGGUUGUCACACUCCCACCACUCUCCCACCACUUCUUCCCUAAUCUCCUAACAUCAAAUACAAAAAUGCCACAUCCUUAUUAUUGAAAAUUAAAUUCCCAUACAUAUAAAUCUUAUGCCAGAUUUUUUGUUGAUUGGAUGAUAUUCGGCCAUAUAAAAUUCAGUAUCAAUCACAAACAUUCGUUAUCCAAUCUUGAUACCGAAGAGGAUAGAGUAUCAAUCCAUCUAUGGGCCCGGUGCACCAGGCCUUCCGCCUAUAAAAGUUUUCUAGGGUGGUGAACUAUAUUCUUCAAACACAGCCUUGGCUAGUUACUAUCUGGUUUCCAAAGAAAGAAGAAAUGGCUCAGAUAGAUAAGAUGGAAACCCAUGUAGAGAAAAAGUCCCCUGCCAAUGAGUUCUACGAGGUCUUCAGCAGCAAAGCUCAUCUCAUUCCCAAGGCCUGCCCUGACAAAAUCAAGAGCAUCGAAGUGGUUGAAGGUGAUUGGAAGAGUGUGGGCUCUGUCAAGCUCUGGACUUACUGUAUCGGUAAGGCAACGCUAACCAUUAUUCCCAUGCCACCCUCAAUCAAACAAAAUAAUACACUCAGCACAUGGACCUUCUUGUUUUUAAUUAUUAUUGCUGUGGAAGAUAAUAAUAACAAAACAAAGGGAAUGACCCCUUCUGAUACGGGUGCCUCCUCAUAUUAGUUUUUUGAAGUUCUCCAUGCAAACUAAAGUAGAAAUCAAUCUUUAGGCACAUCCCUUAUCUGAGCUUCACAUGACCUUAGUUUCAUUUUAAAUUAACCUGCAGGAGGAAAUACUUCGUCUAGCAAGGAGAGGGUGGAAAAGAAAGACGAUAAGAACAAGUCCAUCACUUUCAAGGCUCUGGAUGGAGAGGUCAUGAAGGAUUUCAAGAGCGUCAUCUCCAUCCUUGAAGUGAGUGCAAAGGAUGACGGCAGCCUGGUGAAAUGGACUUUGGAAUAUGAGAAGUCAAAUGAGAAACUCCUACCUCCAGAUGCUUACCUCAGCCUUGUAAUUAGUAUGAGUAAAGAAAUCGACGCUUACCUUCUCAAGGCAUAAGCCGCAUAACAAGCCCUAUAUCCUUGACUUGAUAUGAAAGCAUCCUAGCCUGGGUCCUCCUGGGAAUAACGGAGUUGCUAUGCGUACCUCCAUAUUAUAUUAUCGACACCUACUGGCUACUGCUGUACUCCAUGUAACUUCUUGCUGUACUUAAUUAUAUGAGCUUCCUGAAUUAAUGUUGGAAUGAUAAAUCAAGCUUUAUGGUAGAAUCAAAUGAUUGCUCUAUCAUGGAAUAAAUUUCGCAAUAAAAAUAAAUAUUAGAGGAGAGUUAUGAAACGAAGCUUUUUUUUCUGCAUCAAAUUAACUUUUCAUACACUGUUUUUAAAACAAAUCAACAUACAAUGAUCUUAUGUUGUACCUUUUCCGUUGCAGAUUGCUUUUAAAAAUGUUCUCCCCACAGGCACUUCUAUGGUAUCUUUUCAAAAUUGCUAUUAUAUAUGUUUAAUUAACCAUUCAUUUUGGUCUAAAGCUAGGACGAACUUCUAAGACUGCCACGGAGACUCUGGAAAUCAACAGAUGAAGAAAAAAAUAAAAUAUAUCCAUGACUUCCAAGGUUUUGGAAGCAGAGGUCAUGAAUCAUUUCAAGAAGAUUCAAGUCAUCCAUGCAAGUAACAGCAAAGGAUAAGCGCAGCUAGGUGAAAUGGAGACUGGAUAUUGAGGGUCACUAUCUCAGAUUCUCAAGGCAUAGCAUUAAAAACAUAUCCUUUAAUUGGUAGUAUAAUCUCAAACUUGUAUGUAAAGACCAGACCGUGGAAGUGCAUAUAUGCAUUUUAUUCUUCAAUAAGCGCAGGCUUAGGGGGUAGUUCAAUAACCUCUGGGCUUAGUCAAUCCCGAGAAGAUAUUAAUAAAUUUCCCUGGAUUAUUCCUCUCAUGAAUAUCAGUGCCUGUAAUUUGGUUGUGUGCUAACGGGAGUUGCCUCUUGCGAUCGGUUGGGUUCUUUAAUAAACGCAUUAUUAGGUAUGAAUGAUCAGGAAAUUGAUAAGUAAAAAACAAUUUAAUUAUUUCACUUAAGUCAUAAACCAUUAUGAGGAGCCUUGGAAUAUAUGCAUGAGUCUAGAUUCUCGCAGCCACUAAUCACGUAGUCAAAAUUGGCCAGUCGCAAACAUUCCAAUCAUUCUUUAUGAUAAGAAAGAAGAGUUCACUCUUCUUUUUCUCGAGUUUUUUAUUUGGAGAGAGCAAUUUAUCAGCCUCACAUUUUGAGACCUUUCUUGGCACAUCACUUUCAGAAUCUGAUUUCCUAGCUCCACUAUAGAAGUAAAGCCAGUUGGGUAUCACAUUCUUGUUUUAUGUCUCCUUGAGUGGGUCGGGUGUAUAUAAAAAUUUGCCAGUUGAAGAUUUUCUUUGUUAUGCUAGUCUUUCUUUUUCUAACCUCCUGAUAUCAAAUGGGAAAAUGCCAUAUCGUUACUGGACAAUUGACCCAUAAUGGAGAGACUUUUGUUGGUUGGACUUGGGCUUUUAUAUAACUCAGCAACUAUCAUAAUUAUAGGAGAAAUUUGAAGUAACCAUAUUGAUUUGGGUCUACCAAGAAGCAAGGUGAAUCGUAACAUAUCAUGCAUAUAACUUGAUUCAAUUAUUUUAUAUUCUACUUGUUUCUUAUGUAUUUUUACUUUUAUCAAAUAGUUUAGAUAUCAUUACCAAAUAUUCUCCUGACAUUUUCCUAUUAUUUCUGUAAGAUGCUAUAAUCUACACCCAAAGUAGUGGACCACUUACACUUUAUUAUGUACUAACCACGAUCAUAACUUACAUUCUCCACCUUGGCCUCUCUCUUAUCCCAAAAAGUAAAGACUCAGGGUUCGUAUCCCUUCCCUUCUGUCUAUAUAGGUCUAAGAGUAGUCAAGUGUUUCCUUCAAUAGCCUUCAUAUUCUUGGCAGUAACUAGGUACUUGGUUUUCAAACACAACAAAAAUAAUGGCUCAAAUUGCCAAGAUGGAGGUCCAAGCAGAGAUCAAGUCCCCUGCCAGUAAGUUCCACGAGGUCUGUAGCCGUAAAGUUUAUCUCGUACCCAAGGCUUGCCCUGAAAAAAUUAAGAGCAUUGAAGUAGUUGAAGGUGACUGGAAGACUGUGGGCUCUGUCCAGCUUUGGACUUAUUUCAUCGGUAAGGCAAAAUCCAUCAUUCCACGCCUCCCCCAACAAACACAAGGACACAGAGCUCAAUUGUACUUCUAUUAUUAUUACUAUUAUUAGGAAAUAAUGAUAAUCUAAUGGUAAUGUGACUCUACUCAUGCCGAUAUAAACCCCGUAAUCUUGAUCUCAAAUUGCUAUCAAACAAAAGAAUAUCAAAUAAAGGUAAAGUGUGUCCCCUAUAUUUAUACGUAGAUAGAUGAGUUCUAAGCUUAGCACCAUGUUUUCCAUUUGAAAAACAGGAGGAAAUACCGAAGAGGCUAAGUUGGUGGUUGAAAGGGUAGACGAGGAAAACAAAACGGUCACUAUGAACGUUGUGGAAGGAGAUAUCGUGAAGUAUUUCAAGAUCUUCAAGUGCACUAUUCAAGUAACCGUAAAGGAUAAGGGCAGCUUGGUGACAUGGAGUGUGGAAUAUGAGAAGCUAAAUGAGAGUGGCCCCGCUCCAGAUGCUUACCUCAACUUUGCAAUGGGUAUCGUUGAGAACGUGGAUGCUUACCUUCUCAAGGCAUGACAACAAAGGCGUAUUCAUGAGUCAUGACAUGGUAUGAAGCACUGGUACAACAAAAACUUGGGAAUAAUGUACCACACGCCAUGUCCUCAACUUCUACUGGUCAUCGCUAUAAUAUUAAAAGUAACUUCUUAUUCUACUUAUAUACCUUCCAAGUACUUUGUGUCUUGAAUGUUAUUAUCUAAAAAUAAAAAUAGAAAAUCUCGAAGAAGAGCAUUGUCCUUCGACACUUUUCUUUCUUUCUUUCUUUCUUCACUGCUGAGAAUCUCAACGUACGACUACCAUUUGCAUUAUGGACCCAUGACUGCCAUCCUUUGACCACAUUUGUUGCCCUCCCACCAAACUCCUACGCGUCAAAAUUUCUAUUGUUGCUUGAACAAUAUUUUCAUUUGAAAAACAAGGAAACGAUUUAAAAAUUCUUAUCUCAUGUCUAGUUACCCCGGUCGACCAUAUAAAGUACCACUUGAUCACUCUAGUCUCCUUUGCUAGCCCAUGGGCAAUGCAAUACCCAGCAGGUCCCAGUAACCAACUCUAUGUUCCUCCGAAAAUGAAACAAAUCAGGUCGUUUCAGGGAUGCAUUUGAUCUCACCCUUUUGUUUUGUGUCCGUUAUUUUUUAUUUUAAUAUCACAUGUUUAUAUUUUAAUCUCAUUCUUUACACCUGGAUUUGCUGAUAAAGGCAACUUUCUUUUUGAGCUUUGAUCGAGAUUUUUAUGAAAUUCCUGUGAUAUUACCGUCCUGCUCCUGCUUAAGAAUGUAACUUUGAUUUUGCUUUUAGUGAAGUCUUUAGGUGUUGUUUAUUCCCCAAAAUCUUUUGAUGUUUCUGAAAUUGCUUCAGUGGACUUUGAGAGGUUGCAGGUACCUCUUUUCUCCUGAAAUAGAAUUUGUUUCAGUGGAGCAAGACAACAGGAUGAGCAAAAAAUAGAACCAAUUUUAUUGAUAUAUAUCAGGUUUUUGAGACGUUGAAGAACAUUUCUAACAACUUUUUUUGAUGGGUGACCAAGCCUAUUAUGCCACAAUGCAUAUACAGAACAAGAAGAAAAAGAAGCAGGUGUUGGAACUACAGAAGAAUUGUAUACUAAGGGUUGUGUUGACAUACUGACAUAUGACUUAUGAGGAGUUGAGGGAGAGAAGCUGCCACUGAUUAUUAAUGAGAUCAAUUUGAGACUGAUAAAAAACAUAAAGACCAUCUUUAGGCCUACCCCUCCAGUAGCACUGUUUUGAAGUGAAAUUCAAAGAAGACAUUCUUUUGGGCAAAUUUUGACACACUGAGAAGGUUCUAAUUAGCAAUUUCAGGGACAUGAAGUGUUUUAAAGAGUAAUUUCAGCAAACAUAACUUCAACUUUACAUCCACCUGACCUCAUUAUUUCAGUUUGACAAGAGGGCUUAAUUAUAUCAGUAUGACUGCUAAGAAGACUUUGGAAUAUUAUAAAACGAGUCCAUCAAGUUCAAGGUUUGGAAUGGAAAGAUCAUGAGUAAUUUCACUACUUUUAAGCUGAAUAUGAGAAGGUAAAUGAGGAUGUCCCAGACCCAAUGCUUACUAAAUCAUUGAAGGUCACCUUCUUGAGGCAUAAUUCCAAUUCUUUUCAUCGAUGCUUCUUAGAUGUUAUAAAACAAUACUAUGAAAAUGAAAACGUAAUGUAAUUUUGUCAAAGCCUUUUCCUUAUUGAAGACUCUGGACUGAUUGCGUGGGUGCGCAACACCCACCAUAAUUCCCACACCAACGCCCAACUAACCAAAUCACGUAAGGCCUCACAUGGCCUCAUUAUUAUUUCUGUUGAAAGAUAAUACUAUAUUACAUACGAGAUGGCCAUUCUACCAGCCACCUGUAAAGUUGGUGAUAAAUUGAUACUAAAAAUAGAAGGAAAAUUAAGUUGAAAUUAAGGGUGUCUAUUUAAAUUUAAUUAUUCCCUAGAUAUGAUCUUUUGAUAUGAUUUGAACCCGUUAAUCAUUUAUUUUUAUAUAAAGAGACAAAAAUUCAAUUGUAUAAUCCAGGAUGAGUCACUUGGCCGGGUUUUCGACGACAGCUAAAUCAACCUUCAUUUAGUAAUGAUUGCCCAUGAAAUAAAUUAUCAUGUCUCCUCACAAUAUAAUAAACUAAUAAAAAAUAAAAGAAGAUCACAAAGAAAAGCAUCUUAGUGGAAGUUUUUUUUUUUUUUUUUUUCUUUCAUUUGUUGGUGGUGACACUCCGUGAAAUGUGAUCAACUAGCAUUUGAAUUACACAACCUAAUGCAAAUGAUAAAAAGCAUAAAUUACUUUAGAGUGUUUAGAAUUUGGAAGACUCUAGCUAGGAUGAUAUGGCAUGGGUCUGUGGCCGACAACCACCAAACCCAACGCUAAAUAAUUAUUAUUGAACCAUCAUCAUCAGUAUAAGCAACAUCAAACCUCUCCAUGUUAAACUGUACAUUUUAUUUCAUCCGGAUCUAAUAUCUAAUUAUAAAUGAUUAUGUAUGAGAUUGCAAUCCUUUGCUUAACUCUUUGAAAAUCUAAUUAUAAAUAUUUGGAAUAUCGAUUUCAUCUCUACCAUUAAAAGCAUAUGAAAAAAAUAUCUUGGUCUUUGAAUAAAAGUAAGUAUAAAUAAUUAGACUAGGGUACCAAAUGAUGAAAUCAAAUAUAAAUGAAUUAUAACCAUCAAAUUUCUAUUUUUCAUUAUUAAAUCAUUGGGCGCUCCAAUUUUUACAUGAUGUAUAACUAUUGACGGAAAUGUUAAUUAGGGAUGGCAACGGGGCUGGUUUUUUCGGGUACCCGCCCCCCCCUCCCCCCCCCCCGCCCCUAAUGGGACGGGGUUGAAAUUUAAUAAACGGGUUUUUAACGGGUAUGAGAUUUUUUUUUAAAACCAGGGGCGGGUUCGGGACGGGUUCGGGACGAGUUCGGGUAUUGCCCCAUUCCGCCCCGCCCCGCCCUGUUUACAUAUAAAAUCAAUUUUAAAAUUAAUUUUAUUUUACUAUUUUUAAUAUAUAGAUAAUAAUAAAAAAAUUAAUAAAAUAAGUUAUAAAAAAUAUAAUAAUUUUAUUAUUUAUAAAUAUAUUUAUUUUAAUGUAAUUAAAAAUUUUAAAAGUAAAUUUUUUUUUUUAUAAAAAAAAGGAGGCUAAACGGGGCGGGACGGGGAUGAGAAUUAUUUUUAAUAAACGGGGCGGGGUUGGGAUGGGGGCAACCCGUCCCGAACCCGCCCUGUUGUCAUUCCUAAUGUUAAUAUAAGGAUAUAAUAAUGGGUAAAAUUAGUUGAAAGUGUUUUUUUUAUGACAUAAAAUAAUUUUUCAAAUUUUAAUUUCUAUUUACUUUGUCUUCCCUUGUCAUGUAUCUUUGUAAUUUUCCGAUUUGUUUAUCAAAACAAUAAAUGAUGUCAUGUUAUGAUUUCUCUUUUUGUCUUCCUUUUUAAUUGACGUGUUUAUUGGAAUAAUAUAUUAUGUUAGACAAAAUAACACAUACCUCCACUGCCCAAAUCCCCUCCGUGACAAUGAACCCCAUCUUUAAGCAUUAUUAUAAAAUUAAGCAUAAAGUUAUUACAAGUUUCUUCCAUUUCACAUGCCUUUCCCAUAGAUUGAGUGGUGGAGAUGAUCAUUCUUGAACGAUUUAUAAUUUUAAUGAAUUCUGUCUAUUCUCAUAUCUUUUAAGAGGGAAUUCAAAUCAACUUAUCUUAUUUUCUCAACGCUACUUAACUUCCACGGCUUCAAAUUUACAUGAUCAUAUCAUUAUCAAUAACUUCGGCAUAACUAUUCAAAUUUUAAUAAGAACUUCAAAUCAUUGUUACCUUUAUUGCCUUAAAAAUCUUUUUCUUUGUCAAUGAUCCCUGCACGAUUAUUAAAUAAUAGGAUUGUUAUUGUCAUAUUAACUAAUUUUGAUAAUAUAGUCAUCGUCACGGCUGAGUGCCGUUUUCUUGGGAGAUUUUUCAUAAAUUUAAAUCAAUACCAGUUAUAGGAAAUGCGUCACAAAUUAGGAAGAUAUCGAGCUGGAAGCAGAUGAUAUAUAAUUCAUUAUUUUCUUCCUUAUUGAAGCUUGACAAACCAAUCCAAAUGCAUUAACGUGAGAAGCAAGGUUUUAUGCUCAUUUUCAAUGAACCUUGUCAACAUGCACGUCAAAAACAAUGAUUUAUUAACUACGUACAUGUAGAACUGCAUGGGAAAAAAAAAAUACAAUUAAGGCAUUGGGAUAUGAAUAAAACGCUUAACUUAAAAUUCAAAAUUCUCAAAACUACGUUUUUCACACCAAAAUGUUUCAUCCAGCCAACCUAAGACCGAGUGAAUCCUCCCUCUAAAGCACAUUGCCCAAGACUACAGGCAACGUAGUAAUUACCUAAGCAAAUACGUCAGAAUCAUACCAAUUUUUACCAAAGUGGGUAUCGGGAAGGAGCUUUGCCUAAUUCAUCCUUCUAUAUAUAAGGACAAGGUUAUCUACUUCUUCUCAUCACUGCCUUCUGUUUGAAUAUUUUGUAGUUAGUUUUAUCAAUCCAGCUAGUGUUAUUAUCAGAAAAACAUGGCUCUAACUGGUAAGUUGGAGACUGAAACAGAGAUCAAAGCACCUGCUGAUAAGUUCUUUAAAAUCUUCAGGAGCCAAGCACACCACCUUCCUAAUAUCUGCUCCGAUAAAAUACACAAAAUCGAGGUACAUGAAGGUGACUGGGAGACUCAGGGCUCCGUCAAGCAUUGGAGUUUGACCGUUGGUAAGGCAUCUCAAACUAAGAACCACAAAACACUAGCGUUAUAUUCUGUUAAUUAAAAUAAGUUAUUAUGUUUUUGUUUCAUUUCAUUGUUGUUUUCUUCACCUUUCAAUUAUUCUAUUAGAAUAAAAGCAUGCCUCUUUGUACAAUUUUUUUCUUGCAAAGAAGUGAUCGAGUCUGGGCCGCUAGUGACUAUGAUGGUUCUUAGGAAUGUACAUGACAUCUAAUAAUAGCUUCAACAUAUUCCAAUUAUGUUUAACCUCACAUUUUGGUUUCAACUAGGAGAGAAUUCUGAGAGUAUUAAAGAGACUGUGGAUCAAAUAGAUGAAGAAAACAGGUCCAUCACAUUCAAGGUUUUGGAUGGGGAGGUGCUGAAAGACUACAAGAGCUACAAGUUCACCACACAAGCGAUACCAAAGGGGGAGGGCUGCUUGGUGAUAUGGACCAUCGAAUAUGAGAAGGCAAGUGAGGGUGGCCCAGAUCCCCAUAACUGCCUAGAGUUUUCAGUUAAUAUCACCAAAGAUAUCGAAAGUCACCUUCUCAAUGCGUAACACCAAGGCCAUAUCCACCCUUUGCUAGUAUCUUGCUCGUAAAUAAAGUUUGGAACUUGGAAGUCCAUCUAUCUCUAUCUUUCAAUAAACGCAAAUUCCAGGUGUGGACUUGGUGAUUAGUGCCGAGAAGAUAAACUAGGUUUGCCUUGGUUAUUUGUGCAAUAAUAUUAGUGCAUGAGUGGGAUUGAUUGUAUGCUAUCUUGUCCGGGAGUUGCUUUGUGUCUUUUGUAAUGGGAUUACUACAUGUAAUGUGAAGACUAUAUGAUGCAUGGGGAAAUAAAUUAAGCGAAAACUUCCAUGGGCUCCAUCAUGAGGAGCCUUUGAGUAAGUCCACAAGCCUACAUUCUUGCAUUCUAGUCACAUGUGUCAAAAUAAGUCUCUACAAAUUAAAGUCUUAUUGUCAAAAUCCCACUUUACACAUAAUCUAAAUAAUUUAGCUAAAAUCUAAUAAGUAUGUCUCUCUUUAUAUGUACUUACCAUCCCAACUUUUAAAUUUAGGGAUAUCUAUGUAAUUUAGAUUUUAAAAAGAAAAUUUUAGGGAUAUUUACAAAGAUAAAUGAAAUAUUUUUGGUUCCGAUAACCAUUAUUUUUAUCUCAUUUUGGUUUCUUUGCGUUAUAAAAAAAAUGGUUUGUAGAGAUAAACUAGAGAAAAAAAAAAAUUAUACAAUGGUUUGUAGAGAAAUUUGAUUCGAAAAGUUAGAAAAGAUGAUUUGUUUUUUGCAUUUGCUUCAUUCUAAAAUUCAAUCACUAUCUUUUAUCUCAUUUUGGUUUCCCCACAUUAUCAAAAAAUGAAGGAUAAAAAUAAACUGGGGAAAAAAUUAUACAAAGGUCUCCGAGAACUUUGAUUUGAAGAGUUAGAAAAGAAGAAUUUUUUUGCAUUUGUUUCAUUUUAAAAUUCAAGGUUUUUGGAUUUCUAUUAUAUAUUAAUUAUGAGGAUAGUAGAAUAAUAAUAAUAAUAAACAAAAACUAGUUAUUAGUGACCUUGAUCAAUAGAGUAUAAGUUGUUGACCUUUAUUAUCUUUGUUAGAAGUAGUUAACGAUGCAAUGUAACCUUAGCCAAUAAAGAUGUUUUGAUAUACAUUGAUUGAAAAAUGUCCUUUUAAAACUAGUUAUUAUUGACCUUGGUCAACACAGAGGAUAAGUUGUUGACCUUUAUUACCCUUGUUAGGAGUAGUGAACGGUGUAGUAUAACCUUAGUCAUUAAGGAUGUUAUUAGCCUUUUGCUAUAUCAUUGAUUGAAAGUUGUCCUAUCCACCAAUAAGGAGAAUGAAGGCUAGCCACCAAGUACUAGUUUUAGUAUUUUGGCACAAUAUUAUUACUAGUGAGUCAAAGUGAAAUAUUUGUUGAUAAAACUUUUUUAAUAUGAAUUGAGUAAGCAAAAUAUAUUAUUUAAUUCUAUCAUUAAAUUGGAAGUGUUUAAAUUUUCAAAAACAAUUAUUUUAAUUAUUGAAUCAAAUGAGCUUACAUGUUAAUAGACUUUUAUAAAGAUGUGGUAUCUUCCGAAAUUUUAUUAUAUAUAAUAAUUGAUCUUCCUUAUACUAACUUUUAUCAUUGAGCCAUCGAGUUCACUUUUCUCUGUUAUUCUCCAUUUCAAUUAUAAAUGAUAUAAAGAGGGAUGAGGUAAGAAAAAUAUUUCUAUUAGAGACAGCUUUGGAAUUGAUUUAUUUUAGGAUUAUUUACUAGACUGAAUUCAUUUAUAAUUUCUAAAUUUCUUUUUGAAGAAUUUGAGAAAAUUAAAUUAAUUAUUGAGAGAUUUUAAUUAGUUUUAAAUUUGUUACUUAAAGUCGUUCACAUGUUGGAUUCUAAUAUUUGAUACGUGAAACUAGCAUGAAGGGCUUGACCUCCGGGUUUGGGGCGUCGCAGCUGACUUUAGAUUACAGAAUUAUUAAUCAACCUACCAAUCUUCAAAGCAAUCUAGGAUGCAAUAUGGUUUUGUGAUUUAAGAUCAAGUGGACGCUUCAUUUAUUAUGUCUUCAAAAAAACAUUUUGGGCCUCAAUUCGAGAUUAUCAGAUAUGGAUUCUAACAGUUGCUUCCAAUCAAAUCAGUGUCACAGAAAUCGCUACCAUUGUGGUACCUGAAAAAAAAAAAAAGAGACUCCUUCCCUUAAUAUUGAAAUUUAUCUGAAGCUAUGCAGUAAAUAAAUGCCCCAUUUUGUGCGUCAUAAUGGGGGAUCACAUUCAGAAUCUUCUGCACAUGCAAAUUAAAAUCAAAAUCAAGCCAUUGGCCUAUCACAUUACCAUUUUUGGCCCUUUUGUUUUGUUGUUUUUUUCUUUUUUUGGCGUGUAUAUAAAAAGCAACCACAUUAUCCAACUUUUAUUGAAAACACCAUAUUAUCAGAUACAAAAACGCCACAUCAUUAUUAUUGAAAAUUAAAUUCCCAUAUAUAGAAAGCCACAUAAAAUUCAGUGCCAAUCACAAACAUUCGUUGAUAUUCACUAGGAUAGAGAUAGAGUGCCCAUAUAUGGACAGUGCACCAUACCCGCCGUGAAGUGAUUGGAAGAGUGUGGACUAUGUCAAGCUCCGGACUUAUUUGUAUAGGUAAGGCAACGCUAACCAUUAUUAUUCCCAUGCCACCCUCAAUCAAGCACAGUCAUACACUCGGCACAUGGCACUUCUUGUUUUUAAUUAUUAUCAUAGUGAACAAUGUUUUCAUAAUCGGAUCGAUCAUCGAACCGAAAAAGUUAUCGAUUUACAGUCCAUUAGUCGAACCGACGGUCGAACCAAUAACAUCAUAAAUAUGUAAUUUAUAUAUUAUUAAAAUUAAAAAUAAUUAUACAAAUUUUAAAAUAUAUAUGAAUAAAUUAAAAAUCAAUAAUAUUAUUUUGUAUCUUUAAUAUUAUCAAAUUAAAUCAUAUUAAUAUUUUAAAUUUUAUUGAAUGAAAUAUAUAUAAUAUUUAAAUAUGAAUAUAUUAAAAAUGAAAAUUUAAUUAAACUAAUUUUAUAAUUUUUAAAAAUAUUAUAUUAUUUUUAUUUAAUAUUAUAAAAAAAUUUAAAAUCCAAUAUAUAUUAUUUUGUUUGGCAUAUUAAAUAAUAAAAGAUGUAUAGCCGAGUGGUCCUAGGUUGGUUAUAGACCUUGAGGUCCAAGUUCAAAUCCUUUGGUGGAUUUGUUAAUUUUUUUUUUCAUUGAUUAGGUUAGUUAGCAAUCCCACACUAAGAGGAAUAAGGAUGCUUAUAAAAGCUAGCCUCAUUAUGGGCAAAGGCAUCACCUCAUCUGGUGGGCUUAAGACUCAGCCCAUAAAAUGGUUGGGUGCGGUGUGGGCUUUGUCACAUUAAGACAGGGCCCAUCAUGGGCUUUUGCUAAAUUUUUUUAUACAAGGGAGCCUUCCAUGCUUGCAAAAUGGUGGGAUAACUUGAACCGAUCGAUUCGCUCAAAACCGUCUGAUUUCGUUGGGUUAUCGAUUCAAUCAUCGAUUUAGGUGAUUUGUGACCGGUCCAAUGCUUAGACGGUUUAAUAAAGUAAAUCUAAUAAAAAAUGUGAUGGAUCGACGAUUGAACCAGUUGGAUCAGUCGGUCCCACCCGAUUUUUAAAACAUUAGAUAAUAACAAAUUAAAAGAAGGGUGUCUCCUCAUAUGAGUUUUUUUGAAGUUCUCUACUCUUGGAGUGACUGAAAGGAUAACUGCAGCCUGGUGAGAUGGACUUUGGAAUAUGAGAAGUCAAAUCAGAGGCUCCUUCCUCCAGAUGCUUACCUCAGCCUUGUAAGCAUGAGUAAAGAUAUGGAUGGUUUACCUUCUCAAGGCAUAAACCGCAUAACAGCAAGGCCUAUAUCCUUGACUUGGUCUGAAAGCAUCCUAGCUUGGGUCCUUCUGGGAAUGGGAUUGCCACACGUAUGACCUCUGUAUCAUCAGUUUUGGGGCAAAAUAGCCAUUUUAUGUAUAAAAAAAAAUAAGCUUUAGCCCUUUACAAAACUUAUGUUUAAACUAGCUCACAUAGAGUCAUGUCAUCAUUUUUCUUUUAAACUCAAUUAGACUUUAUUUUUUAACUGAAACUUCAAUUACCAAUUGAGAAUUCAUUUUUUAACUAAAACUUCAAUUUACAAUUGAGGUUUUAGUUAACUUUGUUUUAAAUUUAAAUAAAAAAUUAAAUUAUAAAUUAUUAUUGAAAUUUAAAAAAUAUAUUUUAAUAAUAAUAAUUUAUAUAUUUAAACUUAAAUAUCUAAUAUUACUUCAAUAAAGAUAAAUUGACAAAUAUAAUAAUAAAUAAAUAUUUUAUUUAUCAAUAAAUUAAUAAUUUUAAAAUAAUAAAGUUAUAUGAAAUCUAAAUAAGAUAUAAAAUUAUAUAAUUUGUUAAUUUAAGAUAUUUAAUUUUUUGUAUUUUUAAGAUAUUAAUUUAUUUGUAUUUUGACAAAUUUAUCUUUAUUAAAAUAAUAAUAUAUUCUUAAGUUUCAUAUAUAGAUUUUUUUAUUAUUUUAAAGCAUAUAUUUAUAGUUUACGUAAAAAAAUACUAUUAUUUGUACAUACAAUAUAUAUGCCUUGAAGAUACAUUUUGAAAUUAGUUAAUAAAAUUAAUUAGAAAAAAGUCUACUAUAAAAUUUAAUUUUUAAUAGUUUCAUCAAAGUCACAAAAAAUACUCAUUAAAUAUUUAUAUUAUGGAAAAAAAAUGCCCCUCCCUAAUAUUACAUGUGAUAUAACUUAAAUUAAUAAAUUGUAUAAUUUUAUAUUUUAUUUAUAUGUCAUAUAAUUUUAUUAUUUUAAGAUUAUUAAUUAAUUGAUAAAUAAAAUAUUUAUUUAUUAUAUUUAUCAAAUUAUCUUUAUUGAAGCAAUAUUAGAUCUUUAAGUUUAAAUAUAAAAUUUUUUAUUAUUAAAGUAUAAUUUUUUAAUUUCAAUAAUAAUUUAAAAUUUAAUAUUUUUAAUUAAAUUUUAAAGUAAAAAAAUAAAAUAACUGAAGUUUCAAUUGACAUAUCUUAUUUAGAUUUCAUAUAAUAUUAUUAUUUUAAGAUUAUUAAUUUAUUUAUAAAUAAAAUAUUUGUUUGUUAUUAUAUUUAUUAAUUUAUUUUUAUUGAAGUAAUAUUAGAUCUUUAAGUUUAAAUAUAUAAAUUAUUAUUAUUAAAAUAUAUAUUUUUUAUUUCAAUAAUAAUUUAUAAUUUAUUUUUUAAUUAAAUUUUAAAAUAAAAUAAAAAUUUUAACUAAAACCUCAAUUGUCAAUUGAGGCUUUAGUUAAAAAAUAAGUUUCGAUUGACAAAUGAUACUUCAAUUAAAAAAUGAAGUCUUAGUUGGUAAUUGAGACUUCAACUUAAAUUUUAAAAAAAAAAAAUUAUGACAUAACUCCUAUAUGUGAUAAUAAAGGAACUAGUUUAAACAUAAGUUUUAUAAAAGGGUUAAAACUUAUAUUUUUUUCUACAUAAAAAACUAUUUUGCCCUAAAACUCCCGUAUCGUCGACUAGCUACUGCUUUACUCCAUGUAACAUCUUGUCUACUUAAUUAUAUGAACUUCCUGAAUUAAUGCUGGAAUGACAAACCAAGUUUUAUUGAAAAUGGAAACCUUCUUAGAAUCAAACAUUUGCUCGAACAAAUUUCGCAAUAAAAAGAGGAGAGUUGUGAAAAGAAGCAUUUUUCCUGCAGCCAAUUACCUUUUCAUACAUUACUUUAAAACAAAUUAACAAAUAGUGAUCUCAUAUUUUACCUUUUCUGUUGCAGAUUACUUUUAAAAAUAUUCUCUCCACAGGCACUCCUACGGAAUCUUUCUCCAAAUCAAACUGUACAUUUUACUCAAAUUUUAAUAUCUAAUUAUAAAUAAUUAUGGGUGAGAUUGCAAUCCUUUGCUUAGCUCUUUGAAAAUCUAUGAUGAUACUCGGUAUUAAUAUUUUAUUUUAUUAAAGAUAAAAAUAUCAAAAUAAUUUUAGAACUUUUUAGUGGGGAUAAUACUUCCCCAUUAGGCUGCUUACAAGGCAUAAAUUAAUAUUUUUUUAAUUUUAAUAAAAGCAAUUUGGUACAGUUGACUUGAUUGAUAACUAUUUAAGAUAGGAUUUAGACUAAUUUAGAUUAAUUAGAUUGCAUUUACAGUUCCGUUACCUCGAAACAAAGUUGGUGCAACAUUAACCAUGAUUAUGGUGAUAUAUUUUAGUUUUAUAUUUUUUAAGGGGAUAAUUUUUUUUUUUAAUGGUUUGAUGUUAGCUUAUAAGAAAAACCUAAACCAUAAAAGCCGAAUCUUUCCAAUAUUGAUCCAAUUUCUAUCAUUAAAAAUAUAUGAAUAAAACUUUUGAUCCUUAAAUAAAAGUAUACAAACUAUCGUACAAAAUAAUGGAAUCAAAUAUACAAAAUAAGAUUAAGGAAAUGUUUGAUAAAACUUAAUAUUUAUUAUUUAAUAAUUUAAAUUAACUCUAAGUUAAAUUAUAUUUAAGUUGUUGACUUAAAACUUAUUAUUUAAUUUUUAUUUUAAGUAUUAAGGUUAUUUAAAAAAAUUAACUUACAAUUUAUAUUAAAUCAUCAAAUUAAAAUAUUUAUCUUAAUAAAUUAUAACUAAGACAAAUAAGGUUAAAUAACAAUGGAGGUUGUGAAGUCAUAAAAGAGAUCAUAAAUGUAAUUGAGAGAAAAAAAGACAAAAAUAUAAAAUGAAGAUACUGACUUAAAAAUAAAUAAAUUUUUUUAUUUAUUAAGUCUUUUAUUUUAAGUCAUACAAUAAAAUUAUUUUAUCAAACAUAUUUAAUUUAUUUAAUAAUAUAAUUAAAAUAUUAAGUCACUUAAAGUUAUUAAAUUGGUUUACCAAACACGUACUAACGUACAAAUAAAUAAGACUAAAAUAGAAAACAAUGAAACUUAAACACAUAUAUGACAUGGUCUAUUUAAUUGUAUUUUUUUAUAAAUGCCUCUUUAAUACUUCCCAAAUCAUAACAUUAAAUUUCUUAAAUUGAUAUAAAACAUUUUUUUUUUUCUANNNNNNNNNNNNNNNNNNNNNNNNNNNNNNNNNNNNNNNNNNNNNNNNNNNNNNNNNNNNNNNNNNNNNNNNNNNNNNNNNNNNNNNNNNNNNNNNNNNNACAUAUAUGACAUGGUCUAUUUAAUUGUAUUUUUUAUAAAUGCUCUUUAAUACUUCCAAAUCAUAACAUUAAAUUUCUUAAAAUUGAAUUAUAAACAUUUUUUUUUUCUAUGAUUGAAUCAUUUAGCACUCCAAGUUUUACUAUUGGACGAAAUGUUAAGGAUCUAAUAAAUGGGUAACAUUAAUUUGCUGAAAUAGUUUUUCUUAUUACUUAUAAUGGUUUUAAGAAUGUUGAAAAAAAAAUUCAUGGGAAAACAUUUAUCAAACUCAAAUUUUGAUUCCUAUUUACUUUAUCUUUCCUUGUCAUGUCUCUUUCUAAUUUUCCUUUUUUAGCGGUUUGUUUAUUAGAACAGUAUAUCAUGCCUGUGAUUCUCUUUCUAUCACUUCUUUUCAAUUGAUUUGUUUAAUGCAAUAAUAUUUGUUUAAUGCAAUAAUAUAUCAUGUUAGACAAAAUAACACCUACCUACUACCCAAAUCCCCAAUGUGACAAUGAACUCUAUCUUUAAGCAUUAUUAUAAAAUUAAACGUAAAGGAUAUUAUAAGUUUCUUCCAUUCCACGUGCCUUUCCCAUAUAUUGAAAGGUGGAGGUUAUCAUUUUUAAAAGAUCAAUAAUUGUAAUGAAUUUUCCAUUCCACGUGCCUUUCCCAUAGAUUGAAAGGUGGAGGUGAUCAUUUUUAAAAGAUCAAUAAUUUUAAUGAAUUUCAUAUAUUUGCAUAUUUUUUAAGAGGGAAUUCAAAUUAACUCAUCUUAUUUCUCAAUGUUACGUAACUCCUGCCUCAAAUUAAAAUCAUCAUAUCAUUAUGAACAACUUUGAUACAACUAUUCAAUUUUUAAUAUGAAUUCUUUCAUUCUCAAAUCAUUGUUCAAGUUAGCUUUAUUAACUUAAAAAAACUCAUUCUUUGUCACUACUCCCUCUAUGAUUAUUAAAUGAUAAAAUUGUCAUUGUCUUAAAAACUAAUUUUGAUAAUAUAUUCAUCAACAUAUUUACAAAUUUAAAUUAAUACAAGUUGUAAGAAAUGUAUCAUAAAGAAGAUACAAAACUAGAAGUAGAUGAUAAUUAAUUAUUUUUUUUCUUUAUUGAACUUUGACACCCCAUCCAAAUGCAUUAACGAGAAAAAUAGUGUUUUAUGCUUGUUUUCAAUUAAUCUUGUCAAUAUGUACAUGAAAAACAAUGAUUUAUGCUUAUAAAUCUUAUCAAUUCGCUUAUUUGUAUAUGUAAAAUGAAAUUAUUGAAACUACACGUAGAAUUGCAUGAGGAAAAAAAUACAACUACUGCAUUUAUAAAUGAAUAAAAGCUUGGCUUAAAAUUCAAAAUUCUCAAAACUAUGUUUUCCACACCAAAAUAUUUCAUCCAGCCAACCAAACACCGAUUGAAUCCUCCCUCUAAAGCAUAUUGCCCAAGAUUACAGGCAACGUAGUAAUUACCUAGGCAAGUACGUCAGAAUUAUAGCUUCUUUUUUUUUUUUGUUUUUUUUCAGUUCAUUGACUCGGCUCCACCCAACCACUAUCAGUAUCAGUUACUACCAGAGAGGGUACUGGGUACUGGUUACUGGGCAGGAGCUUUUCCAAAUUCACAACCCGUCUUCUUUAUAUAAGGGCAAGUUUAUGUAUUUCCUCUCGCCAUUGCCUUUUGUUCGAAUCAUUUGAAGUUGAUUUUAUUAAUCCAUCAGAAAAACAUGGCUCUAACUGGUAAAUUGGAGAUUGAAACAGAGAUCAAAGCACCUGCUGAUAAGUUCUUUAAAAUCUUCAGGAGCCAAGCACACCACCUUCCUAAUAUCUGCUCCGAUAAAAUACACAAAAUCGAGGUACAUGAAGGUGACUGGGAGACUCAGGGCUCUGUCAAGCAUUGGAGUUACACCAUUGGUAGGAUAUGCAACUCGAACUCAGAACCCCAAAACACUAGCUAGCAUUAUAUUCCGUUAAAAUGUUUUUUGAUUUUUUUUCCCCAUUUCAUUGUUGUUUUCUUCACAUUUUUUUAUUCUUUUAGAAUAAAUGCAUGGCUCUUUGUACAAUUUUUCUUUUUUUCUUGCAAAGAAGUGGUCAAGUCUGGGCCGCCAGUGACUAUGAUCGAUGGUUCUUAGUAAUGUAUAUGGCAUCUAAUAUUAGCUUCAACAUAUUCCAAUUACUAGGAGGGAAUUCUAAGAGCAUUAAGGAGAGUGUGGAAUCAAUAGAUGAAGAGAACAGGUCCAUUACGUUCAAGGUUUCGGAUGGAGAGGUGCUGAACGACUACAAGAGCUACAAGUUCACCACACAAGCAAUACCAAAGGGAGAGGGCUGCUUGGUGAAAUGGACCAUUGAAUAUGAGAAGGCAAGUGAGGAUGGGCCAGAUCCCCAUGACUACCUGGAGUUUGCAGUUACUGUCACCAAAGAUAUCGAAAGUCACCUUCUCAAUGCAUAACACCAAGUCCAUACAUACCGUCUGCUAGUAUCUCUAUUAAAUAAAGUUUGGAACUUGGAAGGGCAUCUACGAUCUCUAUCCUUCAAUAUAUGCGAAGGCUUAGGGGAACUUUUAGCAGCUGUGGCUUGGUGAUUAAUGCUGAGAAGAUAAACUAGGUUUCCCUUAAUUAUUUGUGUAAUAAUGUUAGUGCAUGCGUGUAAUCGGUUGUAUGCUUGUCUGGACUCUAGGGGUUGCUUUGUGAUUGUUAAUUGGUGUCUUUUGUAAUGGGAUUACUACAUGUUAUGUGAAGACUAUAUGAUGUAUAAGGAAAUAAAGUGAAAAUUACCAGGGGCUAACUCCAUCAUGAGGAGCCUCUGAGUAUGUCCACAAGUCUACAUUCUUGCAUUCUAGUCACAUGUGUCAAAAUCAGACCCUAACAAAUUACAGUCUUGAUCAUUGAAGGGGUAAAAUCCCACUUUACAUAUAAUCUAAAUAAUUUAGCUAAAAUCUAAUAAGAAUAUCUCUCUCUACAGGUAUGUAACCUUCCAACCUUGAAUUUAAGGAUAUUUAUAUAAUUUAAAAUUAUAAAAAGAAAAUUUUGGAUAUAGGACAAAUUAAUUUUUUUUUUAAAAAAUAACGAAAGUGAAUGAAAUAUUUUUGGUUCCUAUGACCACCCACUUUUUUUACUUUUUAUUUUUAUCUCAUUUUAGUUUCUCCACGUUAUAAAAAAAUGAAAAGAUAAAAUAGAGAGGAAAAAAGACAACUUGGAUUUGUAGAAGUUUCUUUCUUUCAUGGUGUUUUUCUGUUCUGUUUUUGCCUUUGUUUCAUUCUAAAAGUCACUCACUAUCUUUAUCUCAUUUGGGUUUCCCCGCGUUAUCAAAAAAUGAAAAUAUAAAACAAAGAGGAAAAAAAAACCUAUACAAAGGUCUUUGGAAUUUUGAUUCAAAGACUUAAGAAAAGAAUAAUAAAUUUUUGCAUUUGUUCCGUUCUAAAAUUCAAGGUAAGUUUUUCACAUAUAAUUUUUUUUUAGGAAUUCUAUUAUCUAUUAAUUAUGAGAAUAGUAAAUAUAUAUAAUAAUAAUAAUAAUAAUAAUCAUCAUCAUCAUCAUCAUCAUCGUCAUCAUCAUUAUCAUUUUAAAACUAGUUAUUAGUGAUCCUAAUCAAUCGAGAACAAGUUGAUUUUCAUUACCCUUGGUAAUGGUAGUGAUAAAAUAUAUUUUUAGUUAAUAAGGGUGUAAUUAGCUUUGGGGUUUCAUUGAUUAGAAAUUAUUUCAUCUACUAGUAAAAAAAACAAAGUAAAACUAACCAUCAAGUGCAAAUCAUGAAUUUUUUUAAAUAUGAAUUGAGUAUACAAAGUAUAUUAUUUAAUUAUAUAUUUAAAUUGAAAGAGAUUAAUUUUUCAAAAAUAGUGAAUUUAAUCAUUGAAUCAAAUCAACUUACCUGUUAUAAAGAUGUGAUAUGUUCCAAAAUUUAGUUGUAUACAAUACGUGACCCUUCUUAUUAAACUAUCCUUUAUCAUUGAGCUAUCUAACUUACCUUUCUCAAUUAUUAUCCUUUAAGGUACAUCAAAUAUUGGUAUAAAUGAGAAGAGAUCGAGAUAUGAAAAGUAUUUCAAAUAGAAACAUCUUUAGAAUAGAUUUAUUUUUUAGGAUUGUUUACUUAGAUCAAGUUUAUUUUAAUUUCUAAAAUGUUUUUUUAAGUGUUUGAGAGAAUUAAAGUUAUUAUUUAGAUAUUUUAAUUAGUUUUGGAUUUGUUUGUUAAGGUCAUUCAUACAAAGAUGAUAUCCAUUUCUGUGUUAUAUUUUAUUUUAUUUAUUUAUUUCUUAUUUCAUGUAUUAAGUUUGAUAAAACUGAAGGUGAAAUCAACAUUGAAUUGCUAAAAAUGUCAAUUACUAUUGUUAAUUUAUCACAAUUAUGAUUUUUUAAUUGUAGCACAUAGUAAAAUUAUUAUUAUUAUUAUUAUUAAUAUUUAUACUCUGGUCGAACUUAUCCAUGGCCAAUCCAUCAUGUAGGCCAAUUUUGUCAAACUUAUCCAUGGCCCAUCCAUCAUGUAGGCCAAAUUUUUAUUAGCAUUUUUGGGUCAUAACUCUAGAUGCUGACAUUAAAGCAUUUCUGGCAUAAUAAUUAUUGGAAAAGGAUGUCUCCUCUUUCAUGGAUCACAACCAAUACAGCAAAGAUGAUGAUAGAUAGCAUCCUUAUCACCUCAUGUGUCUUGACCUCUUCUUCAAGCUUGAGUGUCUUGUCCUAUAUUUAACGCAUGUACCAUUGCCUCCAAGAUAUGGUGACAGGAAUUAUAUAGCUACUGACUAGCUAGUCUUCACUCCAAAAAUAUGAUGGCCACUUUUUUGAAAUAUAACUCUUUAUCCUAUUGACUUAAACUCACCACCUCUUUCAGAUCCUCCACAAGGAUCAACUUAUUAAGAGUUUGGUCGAAGUUUGAUCCACUUUUCUAAAUGAGCAAUGUUAAAUUAUUUUAUUCAAACAAAUUUGAUGAUCAAAUAUCUCUUAUUUUCUCAAAUUUAAAUAACAUUCCUUUAUAAAAAUAAUUAUAAAAUUUAUUAUAAUCACUCAUUUUCAAUGGCUCAUUAGUAGAUGUUCAUUGUAUUAAAAUACAUUUAUAUGAUUAAGAAAAACUUAUACAUUUCUAUUUUUUUUUUCUAUGCAUAAUUUAUAAUAUCUCAUAUAGGAUUUAUUGGGUUUAGAAACAUGUAAUAUUUAUAUAAUAGUGAGUGAAUUAUUAUAAAUGGUAUGAAAAUUGAUUUUCAACCCUUUAUGAGAAUUUAUUUAAUACUACAAUAUAUGACUCUAUGUUUGAUUAUGUAAUCCUAUAAGACACGAUGUCCAUUAAGUUCAUUAUAUUAUUUUUAAUUAUGUAAAAAUAUUUUAAAAUUAAAAAAAUUCAUUAAACUUAGUGCAGACGCUAUCUAUAUAAAAGGAAAUAAAUGGUUAUACUUCAUCAUAUUCGUUUCUCAUAUUUGAUAUAUAUCAAUUUCAGCGACUAUUAUUCAACAUUGCCCGAAGCAAUAGGUGCCUCACUUUUACAAAGAAAACUUCCUCUAUUGAUAUUUCUCAAAUAUAAAUUCAUGUCAUGGACUCAUGGUUAACAACCGAUAGAUCCUAAAACAAUUAGAUAUCUCAGAUAUUGAUUGACCAAAUGGACAACCGAUGCUAUAGUAAGAGCUGUUGCUGUUAUCUUUUAAUUUAAAUAUACACAAACGACAAAAUGCUUAACUAAUCCACCACCCAGGCGCCGGGCCACAGAAAUGAAAUACCGCCUACCCCAACAUUUUGGAAUUAAAAAUCUACACCACCCAGAUCUUGCUGUGAUUUGGUAAAUCCCGAGAAAUUGACAACCUUCCUACGCUGGGGAGGCGUGGUUCCAUUCAAUGCCAACAUUUUCGGAUGGGUCCAGAGAGUUGUACAGUGACUUUUAAAUAAAGAAUUGUUUUAAACCUUGACUUUGGGCUCUUUAUCAGGAAUAUGAAAAUAUUGGGCAAUGACUAGAUUCGAGAGCAGGUUGCAUGCAUAGAUAUCGCAUUAAUUUUUAGCAAUCGUUAUGACGAAAGAAAAUCUGCAGAACCAAGCGAAUUUUCCUAGUCAUCAUGAGAGACAUUAGACAAGGUUUUCAAUUCAUAAAAUUGCCUUAUCAUCUGGAAUUAAAUAUUUUCAAGCUAAGGAUGAGGUUCAAUCCGUACGGGGCAAUGAAAAUAUAUGGAUGCCCUAUAGAGUGGUUGAACAUUCUACAGUUUCGUCCCUAUUUAUAGAAGAAGAUGAAAUUUUAAGCAAUUUGCUUCAAUGCAAUUUUAGCAUAUUUCAGCUAGUCAUAGCAACGUCUAAUUUCGUUGAUGUAGAAGAAGCUAACACCAAAGAUUCAUCUAGGUAGAAAGAAGUAUCGAGCAUGUAACUAACCGCAGAACUCACAUCUAGGGACCCUAUUGUAAAUAUAACAGGUGAUGGACAUAAAGAUAGAUAUGAGUAAAAGAGUGGAACAUAAAAUCCAAAUUUCAAAAGUAUGAUAGUUUUUUAGUGUUUCUUUGAAUCUCGUAGGAAUUUAGGUCAUUUUCAAUCUCAUCCAUGAGACAAGGUACAAUAAUUGUUGAAGAAUAAGAGUAUUGUUGGGCAGUUCGGCGAGCUAUAUAUAAAGAGAGAGACUUCUUAACCAUAUAAAUAUUAUCCUCUAUAACUCUAAAUUUUUUUUUCCUUUAUCCAAUAUAAAAUAUCACAAUCACUUUUAUGUAUGCACUCUUUUUAAUCACGUCGCAUAAAAUUACACCAUUUUCAAAGCUAAAUAAACUCCUAUAUAGGGGUCAUAUAUUGACUUCAAUACUCUUUGAAACGACUCACACUUAAUCAUAUAAACUCAUUAUAAUAAUGUAUUUCCUAAUUUCAUGGAAUUUCAAUAAAAUAUUUAUUACUUUCAAAUGGGAAUUAGAGAGGAAUGUUGUCUAGCUAACUCAUAAUUCUUCUUUAUAAGUUCAAAUUAGGUAUUUACUUCUUCCUACCAUUACCUCAUAUUUUGAUUGUUUCUUCGUUAAUAUAUAGUUGGUUAAACUAAUAAACUAGAGGUUAGGAUGGAGAUCAAUUUAGAUUAUGUUUGUUUUGAGUUUAAUAAACCCUUACGACUUUAAAAUGUGUUUAGAUAGUUAAGAGAAACUUAUACAUAUAUAAUAUUAAAAAAAUUUCCUCAUUUAAUGUGAGAUAUUAUAAUCAUCACUCAUGUAGACAUAAUAUAUUUGUUGUAAGUCAGAAGAUUGUAAAACCAAACAAAUUUUUUCAUUGAAAUAUAAUAUUAUUUGUAAUGGUUCACUUUCUCUCAUGGAUCCCAACUCCAUUAGGUUCUUCAUGAAGCUUGUUUCAGUUUAUUAACCACCGAUGUAGCAAAGAUGAUGAUAAGUAGUAUUUUUGUUUCUCAUAUGUUUUCAGACCUCAUCAAGCUUGAGUGCCUUAUCCCAUCUCUAACGCAUGUACCAUUGCCUCCAAAAUAUGUUGCCAGAUUAUACAUAAUAUCAUAAUUAUAGCUACUGAAGUCCAACGACUACCUAGCUAGUCUUCACUCCCAAAAACAUGAUGGUCACUUCUUUGAAAUAUAACUCUUAUCCUAGUGACUCAAACUCACCACCUCAUUGACAUCCGUCAUAAGAAUUUCAGAGACUCUUCAAAGUUUGAUCCACUUUUAUAGAUGAAUAAUGUAAAAUUCUUUUAUUCAAACAAAUUUGAUGAUCAAAUAUCUUUUCUUUCCUAAAAAUUAUAUUUCCUUUUUAUAAAUCUUAUUUUAAUGACCCAAUUACAGUAUGGUAGAUAUUGUUUGUUUCGAGUCCAAUAAACCCUUAUAACUUUAAAAUAUGAUUAAAUAGUUAAGAGAAACUUAUAAAUAUAUAAAUGUGAGGUCAAAUAAAUUUUCAUAUUGAGAUAAAAGAUUAACUUUAAUACUAUUUGUAAUGGUUUACUUUCUUUCAUGUAAACAUCAUCCACUUUAUACUCAAUGAAUCAUUGAAGCUUUAAAACAUAUUUACAUGAUUAAAAGAAACUCGUACAUAUAGUAUUAGAAUUUUUUUUUUCUGACCCAUGAUUUGCAAUAUAUGUAUAAAUACGUUUUAAAGUUAUGAGGAUUUAUUAAGUUCAGAGUAAAUAGUAUUUAUAUUAAAUGGAAUGACAUGUCACAUGCAAAUAAUAUCAAACUCAAUCUCCAAUUUUUAUAUAAGAGUUUGUUUGAUUUUAUAAAAAAUGUUUGUGUGUUUCAUUCUACAAUUCUGUGAGACACAACAUCCAUUUAAUUUAUUAAAGUCUUUUUAACUAUGUAAACAUGUUUUAAGUUGUUAAGAUUGAUUGGGUAAAAACAGAAGAGGUGAUUGUGUGUUUUAUCCUACAAUUCAAUGAGGCAAUGCCUAAUUGAUUCAUUGGGGUACUUUUAAUCGUUAAUGCAUGUUUCAAUGUUGCUAAGAUUGAUUGAGUGAGGAAAAUAUCUACAUAUGAAAGGCAACAGUUAGUUACACUUCAUUAUGUUUUUUUCUAAUAUAUUGAUAUAUGUCAAUUUCAGUAGUUAUUAAUUCAACAUCGCCCAAAGUAACCAAUGCCUCGCUUUUCCAAACAAAACUUUCUCUAUUGAUAUUUCUUAAAUAUAAAAUCAUGUCAUGGUAAGCAUCCGAUGGAUACUAAGACAAUUGGAUAGAUAUCUCAGAUAUUGAAUGGACCAAAUGGGGUAACGGAUGUGGUAGUAUACAAGCGCUGUAUAUCUUUUAAUUUAGAUAUACACACACAACGUAAUGCCUAAUCCAUCCAGCCGGGGGGCCGGCCAGAGAGAUAUAAAAUACCCCCAAUCCCAUCAUUUUGUAUUUUGUAUUGGAAUUAAAAAUCCAAACCCAGAUAUUGCUAUGAUUUGGUAAAUCCCGAGAAAUUGAGAACCCAUCCUGGGGGAGGCAUGGUCCCCCUAUUCAAUGCCAACCCUAUUUUCAAAUGGUGUCUAAAGAGUUGUACAGUUAACGGUGACUUUAAAAUAAAGAAUUGCCUUAAACCUUGAUUUUAGGCCCUUCUUCAAGAAUAUGAAAAUGCAUGUUGGGCAAUGAUUUAGAUUCGAAAGUGGGUUCUGCAGACAUCACAUUUCUGCAGAGCCGAAAAUAUUUACAAGCGUAGGACGAAGCUCAGUUCAGAUGGGCCUCGAAGAUGAAUUUUUAAGCAAUUUGCUUGAUACAUUCAGCAAUUGAUAAUUUAAAAUAAAAAAAAUUAGGAAAUAGAAAGUAAAACAUAUAUGGUUAAAACUUCAAUGCAAUUUUAGCAUAUUUGAACUAGUCAUAGGAGCGUUUAAUUUCUUUGAUGAAGAAGCUGAACACCAAAGAUUCAUCCAGGUAGAAAAAUGUAUUGACCAUCUAAUUGUCUGCAGAACCUACAUCUAAGUACCCCGCUAUAAAUAUAAGAGGCAACUUAGGUGAGGGACAUAUAGACACAUACGAAUGCCAUUGUAGAAUAUAAAAUCCAAAUUUCUCAAAACUAUAAGGUUAUGUUUGAAUCCAAAAAAAUAUUAGAGGAAGUGAAAAUGUUAAGAAAAAUAAUUUUUUAUGAUUAAUUUUAUUAUAAAAAAUAUAAAAAAUAAAUAUAAUUAAAAUUAGUUAGAAUUUUACAUAUUUUUAAAUUAUAUAAUUUGAAUUUAAAUAAAUAUAUAAAAAUAAGUCAUUAAUUUUAGAUCUAUUUCUUUUUUCUUUUUUUAUAUUCUCCCACAAAAUUUCAGUAACCGAACACAACCUAAUAGUUUCCACUGUUUCUUUGAAUUUCUCAACUUCAAAAUCUCUUGUCUAUGAGACCUCAGAGUAAUUAAUUCCUACCUCUUGGUGACUAGGCCAAGCGCAUGGAUAGGCACAUUGACCCACUUGUAAUUGCCUAGGCUAAUAGGCCAAGCUCAUAGCAAUUUUCCUUUUUUAUUUUUUAAUUUCGUCGUAGGACUUGGUCUCCACAAGGCACUAUAACGUAUCCCCUAAUUUCAUUUCAUGGAACUUUAAUAAAAUAUCUAUUGCUUUCAAGUGGGAACUGGAGAGCAACGUUGCCUAGCUAACUCACAAUCCUUCUAUAUAAGUUCAAGCUAGGUAUCUUCUUCCUUCCACCACUGCCCACUGCCUUGUAUUAGGAUAUCGUUUCUUAGUUAAUAUAUAGUUGAUUAAUUUCCAUCUCCAACUACUACUAUUAUUAGAAAAAUAUGGCUCUAACUGGCAAGCUAGAGGUUGAAAUGGAGAUCAAUUCACCUGCGGAUAAAUUCUAUAACAUCUUCAGGAGGCAAGCACACCACAUUCCUAAUAUCUGCUCAGAUAAAGUACACCAAAUUGAUGUACAUGAAGGUGACUGGGAGACUCCAGGCUCCGUCAAGAACUGGGGUUAUACUCUUGGUAAGGCAACCACAACUCAAACCCCAAAACCCUAGCACUAUUAGUCUGUAAAAAAAAAUGAUUUUUUUAGUUUUUCUAUUUCAUUUAAUUGUUUUUUUGUUUGGCAUUUUCCCCUUUAGAAUAUUAAUUUAACUGCAUUAAUUCGGAGUUGAUCCCAUCAUGUGGAAGUUUAUGCUUCUGUUAUGAAUACAGCUUUGUAUGCCUUCCUUAUGUUUAAUUCAACCUAAAGCAUGUAGAAUUGAUGGUCAAAGUCUAUGGGACCCUUUUUUCAUGACCGCCAUGCAUGGGGCUUUCCCAGGUGACUGCCCGCUACUAAAGGGGCCUAAAGUUUAGGUCCCCCGAGUUAGAACUUAGAAGAGGGAUUAUGAAUGAUCAGUGAAGUUGUAAGGUUUUGAUCUUCUUAGAUAUUACCUAGAAAGAGGAUUGACUUUACUUGACUUUUACCAUAUUGAUUUAGAGAUUGGCGAUUGCUUUAAAAGGUUGUGUCAACAGAAGAAAACUUAAAAAAUAUUAAGAAAAAUAAAAAAAAUGAUUUUGUUUUUAUAAAAAAAAUCAAAUAUAAUAAAAACGAGUUGAAAUUUUAUUUAUUUUUAAAUUAACUUUUAUAUAGAAGAAUUAAAAUACGUUAAGUAAAUUUGAAUCAAAAUAUAAAAAUAAUUAAUUUCUUAAUUUUAAAUUUAUUAUUUUUCUUUUAACUUCUUUUUUGUUUUUUCAUUUUCUUUUCUUUUGUAUUUUCUUCAAAUUUUUUUAGAACCAAAUAUAGUCAUUAUGAAAAGAUGGGCCACGAAGUGACUACGCAUGUCAAUUUGCUUGAGAUUUCGCAAUCUAGUAGUUUCAAAAUACUAUGCUUAACCCCUUGUUUUGGUUUGAAAUUACUAGGAGGGACUUCUAUGAGCCUUAAAGAGACUGUGGAAUCAGUAGAUGAUGAAAACAAGUCAAUCACUUUCAAGGUUGUGGAUGGAGAGAUCAUGAACCAUUUCAAGUGCUUCAAGUCCAACUUGCAAGUAAAAGCAAAGGAUGAGGGCAGCUUGGUGAAAUGGAGUCUGGAAUAUGAGAAAGUAAAUAAGGAUGUCCCAAAUCCUGAUGCUUACCUGGAGUUCGCAGUUAAUGUUACUAAAGAUAUUGAAAGCCACUACCUCAAGGCAUGACACCAAGGCCAUGUGGUAUCCUCGGUAGUAUUACUUCAAUAACGCUGGUGUUUGUAAUUUGGUUGAGUUGUAUGCUUUACCAGGAGUGGCCUUGUGAUUGGCUGGUUUCUUUUGUAAAGGCAUUAUCAUAUAUGAUGUAAAUACUGUACCUUAAAUAAAAAGAAAAUCAGCAAAGACCCUCCUUUUUAAUGUGGAUAAUUGCUUUUAAUGUCACCUUUGUUGAUCGGUUUACAAGACAAGAGUUAACAAGUAGUCCCUAUUUAUUAAAUAUAAGAAUUUUCUGUAUCCAUUAAUCAUCAUCAGUAAGCUAAUAAAAUGGCUGAUAUUUUUCUUAAUAAAAACAGCAACAGUUACUGAGUUUAUAUAUAGGACACCAGUUGCAGAUUAGAUUUCUUUGGCUUGAUUGUGAUCUUUCUACAUGUUGGAAAAAUAUUGUCAUUUGGUAUUUAAUAUCAAAUUUUAAAAAUAAUAUUUAAGAUAUGAAGAAAAAAACAUACAAUGAUUCAUAUUUUUAACUUUAAUAUGAUUUAAAGUUCAUCGAGUAACCGUUUUGAAAUCAUUCACCCUUGAUCUUCACUUUCCUAGUCUCCCUUUACACGUUCCUUAGUGGUGAGUAUGAAAAUGAUUCCAUUGAAUUGUAAGAAUGGAAAGAGGGAUAAAAAAUUCUUCUAUUUAUAAGCAUAGAAUGAUUCUUCUUAUCAGUGAACCAUUAACUAAAUACUUUAAACAUAUUAUUAAUUAAUAAUAAUAAUAAUAAUAAUUAUUAUUAGAAAAUAAAUUUCAUAAAUAUUAUAAAUUUAAAAAAGAAUCUAAUUUAAUUCUUAAAAAAUUUAUGCAUGAAAUUUUUAUAUUAUUUUUAAUUGUUUUCUAAGGGUUAUUUUAAGAAAUUAUUAUACAAACAUAUAAAAUAAUUAAAAAUAAAACAAUAGAUAUAAAAAUUAUUUUUAAAAAUAUUAAAAAUAAAUUCAAAAUAUUUUAAGUUGCCAAACAAAUUUUUUAUUCUACAAAAAUCAGAGAUAGUUUUCAAAAUCUCUUUUAAAAAACUAUUUUUCAGAAUUAUUUUAAAAAAUAGUUACCAAACAAGCCCUAAAAGAUUUAUAUAUAUAUAUAUAUAUGAAAUUAAAAAAAUAUCAAAUAAUAAAAAUUCAAACAAUGGUAAGGGUGUCACUAAUGAUCGGUUUGGAUUUAAACUAACAUUUUUUUAUAUUGAGUAAUUUAUUUUUUAUUCUAUAUAUUAGAAAAUUGAAUUUAAAUGUAACUUUUUCAAAUAAAAUAGUUAGAUCACACUUGAUAUAUAGUAAUAAUUUUUUAAAAACUAAUGGUCAUAAUUUAAAAAAAUGAUGAAAAAAAAAUCUCAAAUAUAUUGCAUAUGAAUGUAUAUAUUUAGUUUUAUACAACAUGUUAGACAUAUAUUAGUUAUUAACUUAUUAUAAUCUACUAAAAUAUUAAUUCUAUACGAGGGGAUUAGAUUUCUCAUUGUUGAUUUUAUAACCCUCAUUGUGGGAUUAUAAAAUGUCAUUGCAAUCACUCCCAAUUUAGUCUAUGCAAAUCAAAUAUAGAAAUGCAAUUUAUCUCUGUCACAAUUUGUUACACAAUAAUGAUAAUGGAUAAUAAAUAAAUAAAUAAAUAAAAUUAAAGAACACACAUUUAUGUAUAAAACUUUAGAUGAGAAAAAUCAUGGAUAAGGAAAAUGAAUAUCCAAUAUAUCAAAAGAUUGGUAUAAAAGAUGAGAAAUAUAAACAACUAUGAUAAAAAUAUAAUCAUCAUAACCUUAAAAUUAUGUGAAAGUAAUUAACAAAGUAGGUCCAUACAUAAGGACAAAGAGCCCCCUCAAAGGUAUCAAUGGUGGGGGUGUGGGGUGUGGGAUCGGAUCAAAUUCCAACGUUAUCAAUGGUAGGCUAGGGGAUCGGAUCAAAUAGAAUUUGGAUCGCCAAACCUUAAUACAUUUUAUGCUUUUUCUUAUUGGUUUAGAUUUAUGAUAAUCUCCUCCACCAGCAAAAUAAAGUUAUACCGGAGGAUUUUCUUUGUUUUGGCUGUCACACUUUCACUUCUUUGCUAAUAGCCUAACAUCAAAUGAGAAAAUAGAGACAUUUUAAAAAUGAGAACAAAUUCUCGAGGAUUUAGUUGUCUGCCACUAGACUAUAAAAAAUGCUUUCCUGUUAUUUUACCCCCUAAAAUAAGUUUGAUACAAUGCAUCUAUUUUCUGGCUCCGACAAUGUUUAAGAAUACAUCAACCGACCUCAAACCACAUUAUUUCGGUUUGAAAAGAAGGCUUUAUUAUGUCAGUAUGGCUGCUAAGAAGACUUUUGGAAUAUAAUAAAACAAGUCCAGCGAGUUGAUGGUUUGGAAUCGAGAGAUCAUGAAUGAUUUCCCUACUUUAGAGUCAAUAAUUAAGUGGAAUGUGAGAAGGUGAAUGAGGAUGGCCCGGGAUCCAAUGCUUACUAAACUAUUGAAGAUCACCUUCCUGAGGCAUAAUUCCAUUACUUUUCAUCGACGCUGCGAUGCUAUAAAAGAAUAUUAUAAAAAUGCAAGGGUAAUGAAAUAUUGUACAGCCUUUACCGUAUUGAAGAACGUGGACUGAUUGCUAGGGUACCCAACACCCACCAUAAUUCCCACACCAACUCCCAACCAACCCGAUCACGUAGGGCCUCACAUGGCCUCAUUAUCAUUUAUGUGGAAAGAUAAUGCUAAACUAUAUACGGGAUGGCCAUUCUACCAGCCAACCUGUAAUGAUUUUGAUAAAAGUAUACUAAAAAUAGAAGGAGAAAUUAAGUUAUCAUUUGAUAACGGUUUUUAAAAAUUGUUUUUAAUAUUUUAUAAAAUAAAAUUUUAUUUAGAAAUACAAAAUAUUUUUAACUUAUUUUUAAUAUUUUAUAUGUAUAUAUAUAUAUAUAAAGAGAGAGCGCUUUAUUUUUAAUUAUUUUUCAUAUUUAUAUAAUUAUUUUUUAAAACAAUUUCAAAAAAACAAGUGAAAAUAACUAAAAAAAUAUUCUUUGAGAUAAAGAUCAAAAAACAUAAAAUAGUUUUUUUUAUUAUCAAACAUGUUUUAUGUUUUCUAAUCUGUGUUUUUUUAAUUUGUUUUUUGUUUUCAAAUCUUAAGAUCACUUAAUUUUUUAGGGUUUUUUUUAAGAAAUAAUUAUAUAAAUAUAUAAAAUAAUUAAAAAUAAAAUAUUAGACAUAAAAAUUAUUUUUAAAACAUAUUUAAAAAUAUUAAAAACAAGUUUAAAAUAUUUUAAGUUAUAAAAUAAGCUUUUUUUUUUUUACAAGAAUCAUAAAAUAAUUUUUAAAAACUAUUUUAAAAUAUUAUUUUUGAAAAUAAUUAUCAAACCCCUUAUUUUCUAUUCUCAAAAAAUGUUUUUUAAUUAUCAAAUGUGGUGUCUAUUUAAAUUUAAGAUUUUAAAUUUUAAAUUUAGUUAUUUCCAAGUUAUGAUCUCUUGAUAUUAUUUCAACCUAUUAUUUAUUUAUUUGUUUGUUUUUCACAUAAAUAAACUAAAAUUCAAUUGUAUAACCCAGUAUGAAUCACGUGGGCCCUUAGUGAGGCUGGCUACAACUAAAUCAACGUUCUUUUGAUAAUCGAUUGCCUAUGAAAGAAAUCAUCACGCCUUACACACAAUAGAAUAAAUUAAUAAGAAAGUAAGAAGAUUAGAAAGAAAAGCAUCUUAGAGGAAGGGUUUUUUUUUUUUUAACUUCUUGGUGGUGACACUGGAUGGGCUUUUGAUAAUUGUACGACGAAUUUAAAAUUAAUGUUUUAAAAUACGGUAUUAAAAAAUAUUUUCAAAUUUAUGGUACUUUUUACCACUUUGAAACAUGUUUCUUAAAAAAGCAUAUUUCAUCGUUUUUAUAUUAAUGAUACACAUUCAAAAAAAAAAAAAUUAAAGGUGUCUUUUUGAAAUAUAUUUUUCAUAAUUUUUAUAUCAAUAACACACAUUAAAAAAUUUUGAAUUUAUAUUAAAAGUGUCUCUUCAAAAAACACAUUUUAUAAUUCCAUAAAAUUAAAUUUAUAUUAAAAGUGUCUUUUAAAGAUAUACUUUUUACAAUUUUCAUAUCAGUUAUAUAGUGAAAAAAUUGAAUUUAUAUUAAACAUAUUUCUUUAAAAGACAUUUUCUACAAUUUCAUAAAAUUAAAUUUAUAUUAAAGGUAUCUCUUUCAAUAAUUUUUGUAUCAAUCAUCCAUUGAAAUAAUUGAAUUUAUACUAAAAAUAUCUUUUUAAAAGACACCAUCCAUAAUUUCAUAAAAUUAAAUUUAUAUUGAAAUGUUUCUCUUUAUACUUUUAAUAUAAAUUUAAUUUUUUUAUAGGUGAUUAAUAUAAAAAUUAUGAAAAGUAUUUAUUUAAAAAAUAUUUAUUAUAAAUUCAAUUUUAUAGAAUUAUAAAGACGUCUUCAACGUAAAUUCAAUUAUUUUUUCAAUGUGUAAUUGAUAUGAACAUUAUGAAAAAUGUCCUUCAAAAGACACUUUUAGUAUAAAUUUGAUUUUAUGGUAUUAUUAAAAGUAUAUUUCUUUAAUAUAAAUUCAAUUUUUUAACAUGUAUAACUAAUGAAAAAUUAUAAAAAAAUUAUAUUUUGAAGAGAUAUCUUUAAUAUAAAUUCAAUUUUUUAACAUGUAUAACUAAUGAAAAAUUAUAAAAAAAAUUAUAUUUUGAAGAGAUAUCUUUAAUAUAAAUUCAAUUUUAUAGAAUUAUAAAAGAUAUCUAUUGAAAAAAUACUUUUAACAUGUAUCAUUGAUAUGAAAAAUAUAGAAAAUAUCUUUUCAAAAAACACUUUUUAAAAUGGUAAAAAGUACCAUAAAUUUAUCAAAAGUUUUAUAACUAUCAUAGAAAUUUUUUUCAAAAGUUCCAUUUUUUAAUAAUUAUUUUUUUAAAUAGCCGUACAAGUUAUAUAAAAAAAAACCCGAUACUCCAUAAAAUGUGAUCAAGUAGGAUUUGCAUCAUGCAACCUCAUACAAAUAAUAAAAAGCAUAAAUCACUUGAAACUUGAAAGUGAUUGGAAUUUGGCAGACUCUAGCUAGCUAGGUUGCCAUAAAUGACAUGGGUCAGUGGCCGACACCCACCAAACCCAGCACUUAAUAAUAUAAUUAAUAUACUAUUAUUAUAGAACCAUCGUUUUCAGGAUAGGGAGCAUCAAAUUAACCUCCCCAAGUCAAACUGCACAAUUUGUUUCAUCGAAAUCGAAUAUCUAAUAAUGAAUGAUUAUGGGUGAGAUUGCAAUCCGCCAAUCCUUUGCCUAGCUCUUUGAAAAUCAAUGAUGAUGCUUAGUAUUAAUAUUUUAUUUAUCUUUUUAAUAUGAAAAUAAAAAUAUCAAAAUAAUUUUAAACUUUUUUCGUGGAGAUAAUGCUCCCCAGUUAAGCUGCUUAUAAGGUAUAAAUUAAUAAUAACCUUUUAAUUUUAAUAAAAGCAAUUUGAUACAUAUCACAUCUUAAUUCACUUGAGUAAUAACUAUUUAAGAUUGGAUUUAGGUUAACUUAGAUUAAUUAGAUUGUAUUCAGGUUAAUUAAACCAUAAUCAUAUUAUUAUCAACAAUUUCUCACAACUAUCCUAUUUUUAAUAUGAAUUAUUCCUAGUUCUCAAAUUAUUGUUUAGGUAGUUUUAUUAUCUUAAAAAACAUCUUUUUUUGUCAUUGGUUCUGCAUGGUUAUUAAAUAAGAAAAUUAUAAUUAUCUUAUCAACUAAUUUGAAGACUUUUCACAAAUUCAUACUUUAAAAACCUCUUUCUUUGUCGUGGGUCCCUACAUGGUUAUUAAAUAAUAAAAUUGUAAUAAUUUUAUCAAUUAAUUUGAAGACUUUUCACAAAUUUAUACAAUACUAGUUAUCGGAAAUGUGUCACAAAGAAGAUGCCAAGCUAAAAGCAAAUCAUGAUUCAUUAUUUUUUUUCCCAAUUGGAGCUCGAUGACCCAAUCCGAAUGCAUUAACAUCAAAAUUAGUGUUUUAUACUAUUUUCAAUGAACCUUGUCAACAUGAUCGUGAAAUGAUUUAUGAUUAUUUUCAAUAAACCUUUCAUCGAAACUAUGUGUAGAACUGCAUGAAUAAAUAAGAAAUUUUCAUAGUUACAGAUUUGCAUUAUCUCACUCUAUAUGAUUUUAUAUAGUUUUUUUUUUAAUACUUCUGCAACAUUUCUUUAGAAAAAAUAUUGUAUCAAUAAAUUCAGUAAUUUUCAUCAAUUUCAAUCUUAUAAUUAAAUGAUACUUCUGUCAUGUAUAUCACCAUACGUGUCACACUUCAUUCAAGAUCAGGUUGAUUAGUCAUGUAUACCUGCUCCAUUAAUAAAGUAUUAAGUUUUUAUUUUAUUUUAUUAAAAUAAUAAAUAAAUAAUAUAAUUUUUUUUUAUUAGAGGUAGUUAGGUAUCAUUAAAUGAUUUGUUGUCCUGCCAUGUCCCCAAUUAAUAAUUUUAUACUUUUCAUUUUUUUCAAAGGAUUUAAAAUAUAAAAUAUUAAAGAUAAAAUAUCUGAAAGUACCGCUUCCAUACCCAAUCAAAUUUUAAAUCUAAAUUAUUGACAUGUGAGUGAAAUUUGGACUAUUAAAUAAAAAGUGAAAAAAAAAUAAAAUAAUAAAUAAUUAAAAAUGUUCCUGCAAGGAGAUGUGACUAAGGUUAAAAAAGGAGGGGAUAAGGAGCGGCUAGGAAUAUGUAAACAAAAUUCAAAUAAUUAAAAAACGAAAUGAUAACUUCUCAAUGAAAUUGAAUGUUUCAGUUCUAAAAUCCAAAACAAAAACUAUAGUGAAAGAAAAAUUUGAGAAAAUAUAGCAUGGUCUUCUCUUUAAUGAUUGAUAAAUAUUUAUAUAUAAAUAAAGUUUAUUUUCCAUUAUAAUUUAGAUUAGUCGAGUCUUGUUUUCUACUCAAAUUCAAACUUCACAUUUUGUUAUAAUUUAAUCUAAUAAUAAUUGUUUUCACAAGACAAGCUGAAGUUAUCCAUUAAAAUACAACUUUUAAUUAAUAGUUUAAAAAAUAAGAUAAAUUUGAAAAUAAUUUUAAAAUUUAAUAAGUAUAUAUAUUUUUAAAUAGCAUUUUUUUUUUUAAAUUGCCAAAUCUAUGCUCAGAAAAGAUCCACAAAAGUUGAUCAACAAAAGAUACCGAACAGGAAGUAGAUGAUAAUCCAUUAUUUUCUUCUUUAUUAAAGUUUGACAACCCAAUCUGAAUUCAUUAACGUGAAAAGCAGUGUUGUAUGCUCAUUUUCAAUGAACCUUGUCAACAUGCACGUCAAAAACAAUGAUUUAUUAACUACGUACAUGUAGAAUUCCAUGGGAAAAAAAAAAAUACAAUUAAGGCCUUGGGAGAUGAAUAAAAGCUUAACCUAAAAUUCAAAAUUCUCAAAACCAUGUUUUUUCACACCAAAAUGUUUCAUCCAGCCAACCUAAGACCGAUUGAAUCCUCCCUCUAAAGCACAUUGCCCAAGAUUACAGGCAACGUAGUAAUUACCUAAGCAAGUACGUCAGAAUCAUAGCAAUUUUUACCAAAGUGGGUAUCGGGAAGGAGCUUUGCCUAAUUCAUUCUUCGACAAGGUUAUCUACUUCCUCUCGUCACUGCCUUCUGUUUGAAUCAUUUGUAGUUAGUUUUAUCAAUCCAGCUAGUGUUAUUAUCAGAAAAACAUGGCUCUAACUGCUAAAGUGGAGACUGAAACAGAGAUCAAAGCACCUGCUGAUAAGUUCUUUAAACUCUUCAGGAGCCAAGCACACCACCUUCCUAAUAUCUGCUCCGAUAAAAUACACAAAAUCGAGGUACAUGAAGGUGACUGGGAGACUCAGGGCUCCGUCAAGCAUUGGAGUUACACCAUUGGUAUGACAUGCAACUCAAACUAAGAACCCCAAAACACUAGCGUUAUAUUCUGUUAAUUAAAAUAAUUUUUGAUGUUUUUGUUUCAUUUCAUUGUUGUUUUCUUCUCCUUUCAAUUAUUCUUUUAGAAUAAUAAACGCAUGCGUCUUUGUACAUUUUUUUUCUUGCAAAUAAGUGAUCGGGUCUGGGCCGCUAGUGACUAUGAUGGUUCUUAGUAAUGUACAUGACAUCUAAUAAUAGCUUCAACAUAUUCCAAUUAUGUUUAACCUCACAUUUUGGUUUUAACUAGGUGGGAAUUCUCAGAGUAUUAAAGAGACUGUGGAAUCAAUAGAUGAAGAAAACAGGUCCAUCACGUUCAAGGUUUUGGAUGGGGAGGUGCUGAAAGAAUACAAGAGCUACAAGUUCACCGCACAAGCGAUACCAAAGGGGGAGGGCAGCUUGGUGAUAUGGACCAUCGAAUAUGAGAAGGCAAGUGAGGGUGGCCCAGAUCCCCAUAACUACCUAGAGUUUGCAGUUAAUAUCACCAAAGAUAUCGAAAGUCACCUUCUCAAUGCAUAACACCAAGGUCAUAUCUACCCUUUGCUAGUAUCUCGCUCGUAAAUAAAGUUUGGAC
rnacentral:lncRNA from 1 species